UUUCAUUUAAGUUUUAAUUAA
rnacentral:piRNA from 1 species